AACGAACGUUGGCGGCGUGGAUUAGGCAUGCAAGUCGAGCGGGAUUAACUUGUUUCAAUCUUUCGGGAGAGAAACUUGUUAUGAGAGCGGCGAACGGGUGAGUAAUAUAUGGGGUAAUAUGCCUCUUUGUUCGGAAUAGCUAUCGGAAACGGUAGGUAAUGCCGGAUGUGAUCGACCACCGCAUGGUGGUUUGUUUAAAGGCGGGGAAUCUUCGGAUCCUGUCGCAAAGAGAUUGGCCCAUAUCCUAUCAGCUUGUUGGUGAGGUAACGGCUCACCAAGGCUUACGGGUAGCGGGUCUGAGAGGAUGAUCCGCCACACUGGAACUGAGACACGGUCCAG
rnacentral:rRNA from 1 species